AGCGGUAAAUGAAAUAUACGUGUUAUAUUGUUUUAGUCUCUUUCCCUCAUUCUCACACAUUUCACAUCACCUUUUCCUUCUCUUUCUAUUUCCUCCUUUAGCCCUCUUUGAUUUUUUCAAACCCUAGAUGAACACCAAGAGCCUCAAUGAACGGAGUAGAGCUUCUGUUUGCAUCUACUUACUAGUACUACUUAGGGAAUGGACGAAUCUACUGGACCACCACCUUCAUGAACCCCUCUUAACCUCUUCGGUGGCGUGAAGUCGUUGGACAAAGCCAACCCUUUCUCUUGGUCUCUCUUGCCUCUGUUUCUCUAGAAAUUAAGCUGGAUCAAGUUCGUAAUCAACUUCAGGAAGGGUCAUCAAACUAUUUUAAGGGAUUGAUGCUUAUUCUUUGCUAUUUUAUAGUUCCAGCCACUUUCUUUGUGCACGUUGACCCUUCAAAUGGUGAGAACUGAUCAAAUAAUUUUUUUUUUAUAUAUAUAUUUCCCUUAUCAUUUUAUAUACAAGGGAACGCAUGCAAUUGCACACAUACAUACACAUUUGAUUAUUUGUAUGAGAUUUAAAUUUUUUUCCAAUAAGCUUAUUUUCUUUGGAAACCAGGUUUAUUUUGUUCAGUUCUUUGUUCAAAAUAACACUUUUUUUUUCUCCAUUCAACCAGGUUUACAUUUGAAUAAAGUUUCUUGAGUUUGUAUUUUCUGUUUUUGGAGUUAUCUAUUAUCUCAAGUUGUAGUCUUCUUUCUAUUUUUUUUUACACAUAAUAAGCAUUUUUUGUUUUAUAUAUAUAUAGAUAAUAUGUAGAGUUUUGCAUUUGAGGAA